rnacentral:tRNA from 1 species
UUUUCGGAAGCUGAUAUUUUUGAGUGGUGGAUUUUUAGUCUAUAGGGUGAGUAUGUACUUUCGUAAGG